rnacentral:rRNA from 1 species
AAUAGAUACCCUGGUAGUCCACGCCGUAAACGAUGAGUGCUAAGUGUUAGAGGGUUUCCGCCCUUUAGUGCUGCAGCUAACGCAUUAAGCACUCCGCCUGGGGAGUACGGUCGCAAGACUGAAACUCAAAGGAAUUGACGGGGGCCCGCACAAGCGGUGGAGCAUGUGGUUUAAUUCGAAGCAACGCGAAGAACCUUACCAGGUCUUGACAUCCCACUGACCGGUAUAGAGAUAUACCUUUCCCUUCGGGGACAGUGGUGACAGGUGGUGCAUGGUUGUCGUCAGCUCGUGUCGUGAGAUGUUGGGUUAAGUCCCGCAACGAGCGCAACCCUUGAUCUUAGUUGCCAGCAUUUAGUUGGGCACUCUAAGGUGACUGCCGGUGACAAACCAGAGGAAGGUGGGGAUGACGUCAAAUCAUCAUGCCCCUUAUGACCUGGGCUACACACGUGCUACAAUGGAUGGUACAAAGGGCUGCAAGACUGCGAAGUCAAGCCAAUCCCAUAAAACCAUUCUCAGUUCGGAUUGCG